CGGCCCUGUGAGUCCGCUGUGAAAUCUGGCAGCUCAACUGUCAGCUUUGCAGCGGAUACCACCGGGCUUGGGACCGGAGGGCGCCGAGACUAUUCCCGGGGUAGGGGUGAAAUCCUAAAAUCCCGGGAGGAGUACCAGUGGCGAAAGCGCUCGGCGACGACGGAUCCGACGGUGAGGGACGAAAGCCAGGGGAGCAAAAGGGAUUAGAUACCCCCGUAGUCCUGGCCGUAAACGAUGCCCGCUUGAUGUCGACAGUCCUCCGAGGACUGUCGGUGCCAAAGGAAAACCGUUAAGCGGGCCGCCUGGGUA
rnacentral:rRNA from 1 species